GUGCACCAGGCGAGAAACCUCCGCAAUACACGAAAGUGUGACGGGGCCAUCCCGAGUGCCGUCCGCUGAGGACGGCUUUUCCCCAGUGUACACAGCUGGGGGAAUAAGGAGAGGGCAAGCCUGGUGUCAGCCGCCGCGGUAAUACCAGCUCUCCGAGUGGUGGGGACGCUUAUUGGGCCUAAAGCAUCCGUAGCCGGCUGGGCAAGUCCUCCGUUAAAUCCAACGAUUCAAUCGUUGGGCUGCGGGGGAUACUGUCCAGCUUGGGGGCGGGAGAGGCCGACGGUAUUCCCGGGGUAGGGGUGAAAUCCUAUAAUCCCGGGAGGACCACCAGUGGCGAAGGCUGUCGGCUAGAACGCGCCCGACGGUGAGGGAUGAAAGCUGGGGGGAGCGAACCGGAUUAGAUA
rnacentral:rRNA from 1 species